rnacentral:rRNA from 1 species
GCCAGACUCCUACGGGAGGCAGCAGUGGGGAAUAUUGCACAAUGGGGGGAACCCUGAUGCAGCGACGCCGCGUGAGUGAAGAAGUAUUUCGGUAUGUAAAGCUCUAUCAGCAGGGAAGAAAAUGACGGUACCUGACUAAGAAGCCCCGGCUAACUACGUGCCAGCAGCCGCGGUAAUACGUAGGGGGCAAGCGUUAUCCGGAUUUACUGGGUGUAAAGGGAGCGUAGACGGUUAUGCAAGUCUGGAGUGAAAGGCGGGGGCUCAACCCCCGGACUGCUCUGGAAACUGUAGAACUAGAGUGCAGGAGGGGUAAGUGGAAUUCCUAGUGUAGCGGUGAAAUGCGUAGAUAUUAGGAGGAACACCAGUGGCGAAGGCGGUCUGCUGGACAGCAACUGACGCUGAGGCGCGAAAGCGUGGGGAGCAAACAGGAUUAGAUACCCCGGUA